AUGGCUGUCGUCAGCUCGUGUCGUGAGAUGUUGGGUUAAGUCCCGCAACGAGCGCAACCCUUGCCAUUAAUUGCCAUCAUUUAGUUGGGCACUUUAAUGGGACUGCCGGUGACAAACCGGAGGAAGGUGGGGAUGACGUCAAGUCCUCAUGGCCCUUAUGGCCAGGGCUUCACACGUAAUACAAUGGUCGGUACAGAGGGACGCCAACCCGCGAGGGGGAGCCAAUCCCAGAAAGCCGAUCGUAGUCCGGAUUGUUGUCUGCAACUCGACAGCAUGAAGUCGGAAUCGCUAGUAAUCGCGGAUCAGAAUGUCGCGGUGAAUACGUUCCCGGGCCUUGUACACACCGCCCGUCACACCAUGGGAGUGGGUUUUACCAGAAGUAGUUAGUCUGACCGCAAGGGGGACGAUUACCACGGUAGGAUUCAUGACUGGGGUGAAGUCGUAACAAGGUAGCCGUAGCGGAAGCUGCGGCUGGAUCACCUCCUUUCUAGAGAUCACCUCUCUAUGAGCAUUCACUCUUAUCAGUUGUUGGUUAGCACAAAGAAUAAUUGGCCCUUUCAGGGUCUGUAGCUCAGCUGGUUAGAGCACCGUGUUGAUAACGCGGGGGUCGUUGGUUCGAGCCCAACCAGACCCACCAAACAUAACCUGUUUAGUUCCUAGGGGGAUUAGCUCAGCUGGGAGAGCACCUGCUUUGCAAGCAGGGGGUCGUCGGUUCGAUCCCGUCAUCCUCCACCAAUUCUUUGAAUAUAGAAGUAAGCCUCAAAUGUUGUUUUUUCAAUAUUUGAGACUGGCUUUUAUUAGCUAGUAUGUUCUUUAACAAUUUGGAAGAAGUAAAACGAAAUCAUAAGAUUGUGAUGAGAUUAUGAUUUCAUGGGUAGUGAUUGUAAUAUCAAAACUAAAUCAACAAAAAGACUAAGAAGUUUUAGUAUUUAUAGUUGUUUUAAGCAAAGCUUUAGAAGAAACUAUAACGAUUGUCUCAUGCAAGAAAACCGAGUUUAAAAGGGCUUAGGUUUUAAAGUUAUAGGAUCAAGUGAAUAAGUGCAUAUGGUGAAUGCCUUGGCGAUUACAGGCGAUGAAGGACGUGGUAGUCUGCGAAAUUUUUCGGGGAGCUGACAAACAAGCUUUGAUCCGGAAGUGUCCGAAUGGGGAAACCCGG
rnacentral:sRNA from 1 species